UCGCACGAGAAAGUGGAGUAAUCCAUGAGUACAGUGGCGUACGGGUGAGUAACACGCUGGAUUAUCUACCUCUUAGUGGGGAAUAACCCUGGGAAACCGGGGCUAAUACCGCAUAAGCUCGAGAGAGGAAAGCAGCAAUGCGCUGAGAGAGGAGUCCGCGGCCGAUUAGCUAGUUGGUAGGGUAAAAGCCUACCAAGGCAUAGAUCGGUAGCCGGCCUGAGAGGGCACACGGCCACACUGGCACUGAAACACGGGCCAGACUCCUACGGGAGGCAGCAGUGGGGAAUCUUGCACAAUGGGGGCAACCCUGAUGCAGCGACGCCGCGUGAGCGAUGAAGCCCUUCGGGGUGUAAAGCUCUUUCGGCAGUGAAGAUUAUGACGGUACCUGCAGAAGCAGCUGCGGCUAACUACGUGCCAGCAGCCGCGGUAAUACGUAGGCAGCGAGCGUUGUUCGAAGUUACUGGGCGUAAAGGGUGUGUAGGCGGUUGUUUAAGUUUGGUGUGAAAUCUCCCGGCUUAACUGGGAGGGUGCGCCGAAUACUGAAUGACUAGAGUGCGGGAGAGGUGAGUGGAAUUCCUGGUGUAGCGGUGAAAUGCGUAGAUAUCAGGAGGAACACCGGCGGUGUAGACGGCUCACUGGACCGUAACUGACGCUGAGACACGAAAGCGUGGGUAGCAAACAGGAUUAGAUACCCUGGUUAGUCCACGCCCCUA
rnacentral:rRNA from 1 species